ensembl:lncRNA
CAGACCCACCUGCAGAGAGGCUGGUCCCCUGUAGCUCAGUUGUAACUCAGUUGGUAGAGCAUGGCACUUGCAACGCAAGGAUAGUGGGUUUGAAUUUCGCACCCACAAAUAAGCAGUUUAUUGCCUACAACGGGUCUAAUCCUGAUUGGUUAAAACCGCAUUCCAGCUGGUGUCUAUUCCAUCAGUUACCACCAGCUAAAUCUGUUCUAUCCGACUGCGCAAUCCACUAAUCUCCACAUUUCCUUUAGACUAACAUUUUGUUUUCAACAGCAGAUAUAUUGUAUAAACUUUGCAGUCUGUCUCUGACAUGUGCAACAUUGUUUCAAUAUUCAAAUUCGAGCUCCAGCUGUCCCAUAGUAAUGAACGGAGUCAGGAUGAGACAGACGGCGUUUCUCAGAGUUGAAAUCAUGAAUCAGCUGGCACUUUUAAUGGAUAUGUACAGUACAAAUACAUGUAGAUUGAAAAAAAAAAAAAAGUCAAAUGAAACUAAGUGCAGUUAGUAGUCUUUCUGGGCCCAGUUUGAAGUGUGUUAGCUGUGUUAUUGUCUAGCUCCUCCAAACACUGGCUUCUUGGGGAGUAUCACUUAAUUGUAGGUUUGGUCUAUGAAUGUGCUGUUUGUUGGCAACAGUAGCCCUAAAGUCAAAAGUGUAUUCAAUGUAGCCUACAGUUGAUACAUGUUAUAUUAUGGACUUGUCUGUAUGAAGUAAUGUGUAAGGCUAUUGAAAGGUGUUUGUGUAAACUGUAGAUUUAUUGGAAAGUUAUGCUGUUGGAGAUUGUAAUAUAUUUUCAAUACCUGCAAGAACACAAGUGCCAUUAUUCUAGAUGACAUCUCUCGAAUCAGCGAAACACCAGGUGAGUUAGUCUCUUCCGUGCCAUGAUCGAGCUCAGGGCUGAGAAACGGGGAGUGAGGAAGAUUUGAGGAUGAUGAUCACCCUCCCUAUUGACCCAGCUGUGUCUAGAUUAUCAUAGGUAUGACCUGGCGGAGAACAUGAAGGAUGGGUCAAAGACAAUGCUGACAACUAUAUGGAUCAGUACUCCUUCAGAUGCAUCCUGGGCCCCUUUUAACUUGCUGCUGGUCUCUAUGGAGAUGGCGUCGGGCCUGAUGACCG